rnacentral:rRNA from 1 species
UACGAAGGGGGCGAGCGUUGUUCGGAAUUACUGGGCGUAAAGGGCGCGCAGGCGGCUCUGUAAGUCAGAUGUGAAAGCCCCGGGCUUAACCUGGGAAUUGCAUUUGAUACUCUGGAGCUUGAGUACGGGAGAGGAGAGUGGAAUUCCCAGUGUAGAGGUGAAAUUCGUAGAUAUUGGGAAGAACACCGGUGGCGAAGGCGGCUCUCUGGACCGUAACUGACGCUGAGGCGCGAAAGCGUGGGGAGCAAACAGG